AACGAACGCUGGCGGCAGGCUUAACACAUGCAAGUCGAACGCCCCGCAAGGGGAGUGGCAGACGGGUGAGUAACGCGUGGGAAUCUACCCAGAUCUACGGAACAACAGUUGGAAACGACUGCUAAUACCGUAUACGCCCUACGGGGGAAAGAUUUAUCGGAAUUGGAUGAGCCCGCGUUGAAUUAGCUAGUUGGUGGGGUAAUGGCCUACCAAGGCGACGAUCCAUAGCUGGUCUGAGAGGAUGAUCAGCCACACUGGGACUGAGACACGGCCCAGACUCCUACGGGAGGAAGCAGUGGGGAAUAUUGGACAAUGGGAGCAAGCCUGAUCCAGCCGUGCCGCGUGAGUGAUGAAGGCCUUAGGGUUGUAAAGCUCUUUCACCGAUGAAGAUAAUGACGGUAGUCGGAGAAGAAGCCCCGGCUAACUUCGUGCCAGCCGCCGCCGUAA
rnacentral:rRNA from 1 species